GAAAAUAUGAGCAAAACCAAACCGCUCCAGACCUGCUGUUUAGCCUGUUCUCAUGUGUGACUAAACAGAGUGAGCAGCCUGGUCACAGCUGUGUGGGAGUGGGCUCGAGUGACAGAGCAAAACAUGUGAGCUGCAGGUGAUGGAUGGAGAGCUCUCCCUGCUUCUCUGGGCUGAAUUGUGCCCUUGGCUUGGACUGGCUUCAGCUUUCCAUGGGAAACCCUGCCUGUCCCUGCCAGCCUGGCUGUGUGCCUGGCUGUGUGCCUGGCUGUGUGCGUGGGUGAUGGAUGGUGGCUUGGAUGUCACCCAGGCAACGAAACCUUGCUGGUGUGCUCCUGGACGUGUGGCAUUGCCUGGGGCUGUGUGUGGGGACUCAGAUUCCCUGCUCUUCCCCACGGCUCCUGAGGGACAUGAGCAGCUCUGACCUCUCUGGAGGAGUAUGGAGGGAUGAAAUGGGAAGCCUUGGAGAGCCAGUGCCCAAACAGAUACCACCUUCUUUCCUGGUGGUGGAAAGGCUCACCUGGAGUUGGCAUGGACAGUGGGACCAUCAUGAGCUCGUGGGGAAAGAGAUGCUGAAGUCUUGGCACCAUCCACUCUGCCAGUAUUUAGAGGGCCUCCCCAGAGAAUGGGACACCUGCUCAGGCAUUGUGUGAUCCUCACACAGUUGGAUGUGCAGCAGAGACGUGCCAGGUUUGCUGAUCAGACUGUGUGUGGCACAAUCAGAGCCCUUGUGCCUUCAAAGGGACCCUCCAAGAAGAACAAGUCGAGACUCAUAAACAUUCUCAUACAGGAGGAGAAAACAAGGUGUCAGAAUCUCGAAGUCUGUGUUGUGGUGGGGCUCGGUGUGUCCAGCACGGCUGCCUUGGAUGAGGCACCCACACUCAAUUACUCGUGUCCCUGCUGUGCACAGAGCCUGAAGGUUUCAAAAGGUUUUGGCUCACAUCUCUUCCUUUCAGAGGCUACUUCCCCCAUGAGUGUAGAUGCCACUGCACAUCCCAGAUCUCCUUCCAUGACAAUCCCAGGGCACUGAGAGGCAUUAGGACAUUUUUCAUCAGGGCACUGAACCAGAAGGCUGAAAACUUGAGUUAGUGUGAGUGGGACAAGGGGUUGGGGUGCCCAUCUUCAGAGAUCUUCAAAGUUUGACCAGAAAAUGCCCAGAGCAAACUGAUUUCAUCUUUGAAGCUGGUCCUUGGAAAUUGGAAUGAGAAGUUGGACCACAGACUGCCAGAGGUCCCUCCUUACCUAAAUGAGUCUGUGAUUGCAGGCAUGGCUUGAGGUAAAACUCAUCCUUCUGGUCCUGAGGUCUCCAUCUCCAGUGGAGGGAAAGUCACCUUCCUGAUUCUGCAUUACCCAUCCAGCUGAAAUCAUAAAGCGGAAAGUCAAAAAUAAAAUACCCAAUCCCUUUUUUCA
rnacentral:lncRNA from 1 species